GACGAACGCUGGCGGCGUGCCUAAUACAUGCAAGUAGAACGCACAGUCUAUACCGUAGCUUGCUACACCAUAGACUGUGAGAUGCGAACGGGUGAGUAACGCGUAGGUAACCUGCCUGGUAGCGGGGGAUCACUAUUGGGAACGUUAGCUAAUACCGCAUAAUAUUAAUUAUUGCAUGAUAAUUAAUUGAAAGGUGUAAUUGCACCACUACCAGAUGGACCUGCGUUGUAUUAGCUAGUAGGUGAGGUAACGGCUCACCUAGGCGGGGAGACAUAGCCGACCUGAGAGGGUGGUCGGCCACACUGGGACUGAGUGACGGCCCAGACACCUACGUGAGGCAGCAGUAGGGAGUCUUCGGUAAUGGACGGAAGUCUGACCGAUCAACGCCGCGCGAGUGAAGAAUGUUUUCGGAUCGUAAAGCACUGUUGUACGAGAAGAACGGGUGUGAGAGUGGAAAGUUCACACUUUGACGGUAGCUUAACAGAAAGGGACGGCUAACUACGUG
rnacentral:rRNA from 1 species